CCAGAGAACUUUCCAGAGAUGGAUUGGUGCCUUCGGGAACUCUGAGACAGGUGCUGCAUGGCUGUCGUCAGCUCGUGUUGUGAAAUGUUGGGUUAAGUCCCGCAACGAGCGCAACCCUUAUCCUUUGUUGCCAGCGGUUAGGCCGGGAACUCAAAGGAGACUGCCAGUGAUAAACUGGAGGAAGGUGGGGAUGACGUCAAGUCAUCAUGGCCCUUACGAGUAGGGCUACACACGUGCUACAAUGGCGCAUACAAAGAGAAGCGACCUCGCGAGAGCAAGUGGACCUCAUAAAGUGCGUCGUAGUCCGGAUUGGAGUCUGCAACUCGACUCCAUGAAGUCGGAAUCGCUAGUAAUCGUGGAUCAGAAUGCCACGGUGAAUACGUUCCCGGGCCUUGUACACACCGCCCGUCACACCAUGGGAGUGGGUUGCAAAAGAAGUAGGUAGCUUAACCUUCGGGAGGGCGCUUACCACUUUGUGAUUCAUGACUGGGGUGAAGUCGUAACAAGGUAAGCGUAGUGCU
rnacentral:rRNA from 1 species